GCCGGAGUAGCUCAGCUGGUAGAGCAGCCGCCUUGUAAGCGGCAGGUCGCCGGUUCGAGUCCGGCCUCCGGCU
rnacentral:tRNA from 1 species